UGGGGAAUAUUGGACAAUGGGCGCAAGCCUGAUCCAGCCAUGCCGCGUGAGUGAUGAAGGCCCUAGGGUUGUAAAGCUCUUUCACCGGUGAAGAUAAUGACGGUAACCGGAGAAGAAGCCCCGGCUAACUUCGUGCCAGCAGCCGCGGUAAUACGAAGGGGGCUUGCGUUGUUCGGAUUUACUGGGCGUAAAGCGCACGUAGGCGGACUUUUAAGUCAGGGGUGAAAUCCCGGGGCUCAACCCCGGAACUGCCUUUGUUACUGGAAGUCUUGAGUAUGGUAGAGGUGAGUGGAAUUCCGAGUGUAGAGGUGAAAUUCGUAGAUAUUCGGAGGAACACCAGUGGCGAAGGCGGCUCACUGGACCAUUACUGACGCUGAGGUGCGAAAGCGUGGCGAGCAAACAGG
rnacentral:rRNA from 1 species